rnacentral:rRNA from 1 species
GACGAACGCUGGCGGCGUGCUUAACACAUGCAAGUCGAACGGAAAGGCCCUGCUUGCAGGGUACUCGAGUGGCGAACGGGUGAGUAACACGUGGGUGAUCUGCCCUGCACUUCGGGAUAAGCCUGGGAAACUGGGUCUAAUACCGGAUAGGAGCCAUUUUUAGUGUGAUGGUUGGAAAGUUUUUUCGGUGUAGGAUGAGCUCGCGGCCUAUCAGCUUGUUGGUGGGGUAAUGGCCUACCAAGGCGGCGACGGGUAGCCGGCCUGAGAGGGUGGACGGCCACAUUGGGACUGAGAUACGGCCCAGACUCCGACGGGAGGCAGCAGUGGGGAAUAUUGCACAAUGGGCGCAAGCCUGAUGCAGCGACGCGGCGGGGGGGAUGACGGCCUUCGGGUUGGAAACUCCUUUCGCUAGGGACGAAGCUUUUUGUGACGGUACCUAGAGAAGAAGCACCGGCUAACUACGUG